UGGUCCCAUCGUUCUAUUUAU
rnacentral:piRNA from 1 species